UACAGAGGUGGCAAGCGUUAUUCGGAAUUAUUGGGCGUAAAGGGCGCGUAGGCGGCGUCUCAAGUGGAUGGUGAAAUCCCCGGGCUUAACCUGGGAACUGCCGUCCAAACUGAGAGGCUUGAGUCCGGGAGAGGUAAGUGGAAUUCCCAGUGUAGCGGUGAAAUGCGUAGAUAUUGGGAGGAACACCAGUGGCGAAGGCGGCUUACUGGACCGGAACUGACGCUGAGGCGCGAAAGCGUGGGGAGCAAACAGG
rnacentral:rRNA from 1 species